GCGUGUUGCCGAGCAACGAUACAUUCGGUGUGCGGUAAAAGUAAGCGGUUGUGAACGACUUUGAAUAGGAUGCAGCAUGAGCCACGUGUGUGGUGAGACCUCUAUAAAAAAGGAAAAGUCAACAAUUUUCAACAAGAUAAAAAGCGUUUCUUUGCAAAAAGAUUCAGUGCUCUUCCCAGAUAUUCAACCCACUAUAGUAAGGCAAAUGAGGAGAAAAAAAUGAAACGACUGAAGACCCGCAAGGAGAGGAGUCAAAUAAGAGGUGGCUGGAAAGAGACUUCAAAGAUCAAGUCAAAUCACCAUCAUCAUCACCAUCGCCAUCGCCAAAGCAACUUAGAUAUGGCACAUUUGCAUAACUGCUGUCAUGCUAGUUGUCAUUGUUCUUCAAGGAGAAAUCCACCAUUUCCAAGUAUUGUUCCCUCUGUGCAGGAGCCCAGUAUCAUCACAGACGGCCGCCUGACAGGACACCAUGGCCUGUUUAACCAUGAGGUGAAGUCUAUUGAUUUUGAACGCUUGCUAAGUGAACAGCCAAAACUGGAGGAACAAAGAAAAGAAAAGAACACUGUAAUUUCACAUUCAUCUUCAGCAUUGCACAAUUCUGCUCCAAUGUCCACUGAUGGUUUGUUGGGAGCUGAUACAGAUGUUGGGAGCUGUGUGCCAUUCAGAAAAAAUACAGACCCUGCUUCAAAAGACCACACUGACUGCCAAGAGAAAGAAAAGAAAAACAUGCAGUUUGAUUCAAAGCAAUCAGAUGUCACAACAGAGGAGAAACCACAACAACAACUCGCUCUUUCAUGUGAAAGUUUUCAAAGCAGCCACUCGUCUAAACACAGCUUCCUCGAUGUACUAACAACAGAAACCAAGUGGACAUGUGUCGUGUCUGAAAACAGCAGAGAAUCACUGCUGACUCCAGUUGUUGACAGAGACAAUAUAAAGACUUUCAACACAAAUGUAAAAGAACGUGUGAUUUCUACUCUUGUGCAAACCCCAACUCUCAGUUCAGCCAACAGCUGUGAGAUACAGGACAGAACGCAAGAUCCAAAGUAUGUAAUGAAGUUUGUCAGUGCAGUGGCAGCACGUUUGUGUCACCAUCUGAAGCUUCCGUCAAUGAGCAGGAGAGACGUGCUGUCAGAGAGCAGGGAGGUUCUGUUGAACUCUCUGAGGAAAAGGCAUGGACCGUGGCUUCAAGAGAACCUCCUUAGACUUCAGCAACAUCGUAGCUUUGCUGUGCAUCCCACAAAGAAAGCCCAAGAUCAUGAUCAAGAGCCAACCAGGAAAAAUGAAGAGGAUCUCUUUGCUGCAGAUACCUCUUUUAAUAUGCCAGCAAAUAGACAUGCCAGCUGGAAGACCAGUCCACAGCCACACUGCAGUCAAAAACAGUUCACCAUCAGAGCAAUCAUUUCCAAUCUUCGAGCCAGUUCAGUCACCCUUCAGCUUGUUCUCCUCUGAAGUCCCAGCACACUGAUAUGAUGCACUACCCUCCGUCAUUCAUUCUUGAGAGAGACCCUGCACCUUCCCUUUCUGCUUUCCUGAGCCCUGAGCAAUGGUCCUUCCCUCCUAUGAGACUGUACUAAUGUGUGGUAAAGCUCUCCAUAGAGGCAUGGCUAUCAAUAUUUCUAUGACUGAUUAAAGUACAAUUGUCCUUUAAUUUAUGCACUUCAAGGUUUUUGUUUAGUCAGUGAUAAACACGUUAUGUUCCCAUAUUAAUAUAACCAUAGCAUUAAGCAUAGAUGCAAUAGCUAUCCACUGAAGAGUAGCCUGUCUUCUUCUAUUGUCCUGUUUUUGCUGAGUUAAGUAGCCAUGCAAUUAUGCAUCAUUUUCAACCUUUUGAAGCAUUUAUGUUUAUUUUUGACUUCUGUACAAUUAAAAACACAGAUGUUAUAAUGGAAUAUUAUUUGUUUGUGAAAGUUGUGCAUCCCUUUAAAU
rnacentral:lncRNA from 1 species